UUUCAGAGGACUCAAUGUGAGAAAAAAAAAUACCACAUGUCUCUAUUCCAAGCAGAGCGUGUCCACGUUCUCUAUUUCAACACAGUUCCCAUAUAUGUCGCCGUUUAUUCUCUAUCUUCGGCAAUAAAUACUUUCAUGAUCUAAUUGAUGAGCAGCUAACACAUAGAAAAUACUUGAUGAUAGUUAACACGUAAAACAAAGUAGGAUUAAUUAUGCAUACAGUCUUGUACAACCACAGAUCCCUGAACUCAUGCAUGAACAACAUGAGAGGAAACUAACGCGCGCACGUAGGAAGCCAUGAAGGGUAUGCCUGAUCAGGUGUUCUCCGACGUAGCCGCACCUCUCAUGUGCUUGUAGUCGUCCAACGGUGCGCACUCUUCGGCAUCUCUUGUACGACGGCCGCCUGCUCCUUGAGAGAUGUGGCCGGGGGAACGGUUCUGAAGCGUCUGGCGCCUUGUGCCUCUUGAGGAAAUCGUAGUAGUCGCCAGAUCGUGGUUUUGAAUGGAGGUUUGGCGUUGGCGGCGGCGCUCAAACUGUAAUCCCGCUCACUUGCCGCUACCUCUCGUUGGUGGGUUUCUUUAUUGCUUCGUGGGAAGACUGUGUGCGGUGGAGUUUGCGUCCUGUGUUGGCUCUGCAGAUUUUCGUGGGCAGGUGGGAUGUAGCUGGCCCGCUCGUUCUGCAUCGGUAGCUGCUGGAACACACCGCACGUAAAUCUGAGAACAGUUUUUAGAAAACUGGUUAAAAUGGUUUGGUUUUUACUCUAGGCUUAAUUGGUUGAGGUUUUAUUGGGUUCAGUUUUUUUUGGUUUAAGUUUGGUUUGGGUACAUAGAAAAGCCAGUUUAGGUAUAAUUGGUUUCGGGCUUAAAGAGUUUGGGUCUAACCGCUGAAAACUAUGGGUUCCAACCCGGUUCUUCGACCCGGAGCGCAACUGAGAAAACAAAAAAGAAAAAACCAUCGAGGGGUCGAGGCGUCGAGCUAAACCUACUCGUCCCGAGCGGCCGAGCCCUCCACCGCCGCCGCCGCCGGCGGCUGCCAACCACCGCCUCGUCUCCCUCACACCUCGUCGGCCUACGCCCUCUCCCUCUCUCCCUCCCCCUCCCCUCACAGAUCAGUGCGCCCCCUCCUCCUCCAGCUCGCCUUCCUCGCCCCCUCCUCGACGUCCUCGUCGGCGGCGCCGUGCAUCACCCGGCUGGCGCGCGCCGGGGCCAGCGUCACGCCGGCUGACCCAGCCGUCUACCGCAGUCCCGUCAUCGUCACGCACCCGGGCGAGGGGCGACAGCGCGGCCGGGAGGAUCAGAGCCUCCUACGGCGCAGCAGGGCGACGACACCUCCACCUCCUACAUCGGCGCUUCCUAAGUCAAGUUCGUCGAGGCCGGCAGCGCCCGCGCCAUCCCGCUCAUCUACAACGAGUCAACCAGCCCGCGAGCGCCUCCUUGAGGUCACUCCUCCAGAUCCCCACCUCCCUCCCCUUCGUCUCUCAUUUUACUCCAGAAAUUCCUGUUCUUUGGAAGUCAACCUGAAGUAGAUGUACCGGGCAGACCAAGGAUAUAUGCAUCCACCUUGCCCCUGCUGGUGCCAGAGCAAAAUUUAGUGGAAGAAAUCCUAUGAAAAUUACUAGAAUGUGAGCAGUUUUAUAUUCUGAACCUAGGUGAGCAUGUGACUUGAGUCCUACCACUAAUGAAAGCAACGAUUGACUAAUUUCACACAACAAUGAUUGGAAAAUACUGGACAUAGCAGUACUUUACUUUGGCUGGUUUCUCAUAUGCAUGCUGGUUUCUGUUCUUCAAAAGGUGAGAAAGAUAUAUUGUACUUUACUUCGGCUGGCCAUCUCUUUCUAAUUAAUGUUCAUGAACUGGCUAUGCUCUGGAUUGAUUGUAGUAGCUCUCUGUGAGAGGUCACUGGAAGCUGUAAAGAAAACAUUUGAUCUUUAUAAAAUGUUCAGAAUUCAAGAACAGGGAAUUGCUAUUAGCUGCUCAAUUUUGCUUGAUUUGGAUUUGAAUUUAGUGUAAUUAAAAGCUAGGUUCUUAAGUGUCCUAUUGUUAUUUCUUUGGCAGUUAAGUGUUACAGCUAGGUUCUUAGUUUUCCCAGAUUAAAUGCCUCAGGUGCUGCAUUCUUGAUUAUAUCCUGAUCAUCCAUAUAUGCAAUGGCUAGUGAAGUUCCGAAGUUGGUGGCCAAGUUGGCUCUUUAGAAAUCUUGAUCAUUGAUAAAAUGCUAGAAUGCACAAGUUGACAUUUUGUAACGGGCCAAGCAAAUUGUUAUGUUUAUAAGUCUACCUUUUUUCUGAUGUUGCACAAGUUAGUGGCACCUCUUUGGUGUCCUUUCUUCGAUGUGUUAAUUUUACUAAAAAAGGCUAAAGAAUCACAUCCAUGCUGUCAGGACUGAACCGGUGUCGACGAGCUUCAGUUAGGUGUAGCAUUUCAGGUGAUAACGUUUCGGGCGAAAUGGACGGCUGAGAUGGCUCCUCACAGUUACUGUUCGUCGCUAGCCGUAGAUCGAGUCUUACCGUUAUUCGUUACUGUUCCGUUUCACCCUGUUGCCGGGAGCUAUCGCCUAUAUAACAGCCGGGCUAUGGCUGGCAAACGCAUCGUGAAUUCUGUGAUUUGCCUUGAUGGCCAAAUAAACCAAAUACAAAUAGAAAUAUCUGGAUCUGGGCGACGUUCUUCCCCAAUUCUCCUUCUCAAAUCCCUAGAUCGAUCCCUAGAUACAGGCUGGGUCUUGACAAAUUGGUAUUCAGAGCAACCUUUCCUUGGCGGCGAUGAAGUUUUGAGGGCGGAAAUUUUUCUUCCGAGCUAUUCCCACCCUAUUUCCCACCCUUUCCUUCUGAUCGGCGGCGGAGACUGGUGAAGUGGUGUCGGGGUUGAAGGACGGGAGGCGGUGUACGCGGCGCAGGCGGCGGUGAUCGUUCGGGUACAGAUCAGCCGAGCCGGAGUGGUUGAUCGAGCACCUUGCUUGAUCGGUAAAAUCCCACGUCUGAGCACUGAUCCGUGUACCUUGGCGGCGUGGAUCGCGGCGGCGGCAGGAUCUGAAGGUGAGUAAGGGUUGCUGGGCCAUCCAGUGGUAAAAUUCCUAAACUCUAAUUCAGAUCGAGGAGAUGGGACGCGCAAAGGCUCUUGAUGAGGCUGAUCUGCAAGAGGUACUGUCUAUGCGUGAUGAUCUGGGUGUUCUUCAAAAGGAUCAAGCCCAGAUGCAAGCGAAUAUGGCCAAACUGCAUGACGAUGUUCAUUCAAUCAGUUCCAAGCAAGGGGAAAUAUUAUUACAAGUGGGAAGUGUAGAGCAAGUGGUUUUGGAUCUGGGAAAGCAAUUAUCCACCAUAAAUGCAGUACUACAAACCUUGGUUAAGGCUCCUUUACAGAGAGAGACCUCAGAUCCAUCUUCGAGUUCACAGCAAAUACCCAAGUCCCCAACAAUAUCUCAAGAGCAAUUGCAAAACCAAGCACUCAGGACAGAGCAACUCAAGAAACAACUUGAAACAGAAAAAGAAAGGACCAGACAGUUGGAAGAGUUACAAAUGCAGAACUUACCUCCCAUCAGAACAAACAGGCCUGCAGCUCCACCAGGAUUCAAUCAACAGAACAGAACAGAGCAUGUUAGUCCCCUGGGAUCCCCACUGACUGCCAGGCACAAUGCUUACACUCCUGCAUUUCAGCAGCACUACCAACAAAACAGAGACAGACAGUUGUGGCAGGGCUAUGCGAAAACGUAUGAACAAGACAUGCAAUGUUAGUUCAUGAAAUCCUUGACAAAAGGGCCUAAAAUGGAUUUUCCUAGAUUUGAAGGUGAAGACCCAGUGGGGUGGAUAAGGUAAUGCAACAAGUACUUCCAAAUGUCUGGAGCACCUGAAGAGUAUAAGGUUUCAUUGGCACAACUUUAUAUCAUGGGAGAAGCAGAUGUGUGGUUAAGGAGGUCUGGAUUACUGAAGAAAAAAGUGUCAUGGAAGGAAUUCUAUACAGAAAUCACUAAAAGAUUCUCUGCUCAAGGCUCUUAUGAUCUAACUAAAAAAUUUAACUCUGUUAAACAAUCCAACAGUUCAGUGUCUGAAUACACAAAAGUGUUUGAAGAUUUAAUGGCAGAUGUGCAAGAAGAAAACCCAGAAUUGGGAGAAUCCUGGUUUGUAAGAUGCUAUGUCAAUGGAUUGAGAGAAGGCAUAAAGUAUCAGAUCAGACCAUUAAGGCCUCAAAUCCUCACUGAUGCUUAUUGGCUAGCAAAGGAUGUAGAGCCUUGCCAUUCCCCAGUGCCAACAGUUCCAAAAAGAACUAAUGUCCCAUAUAACAAUUAUUAUCAGAAAUCUUCAGGGAGUUUUCCUCCUAAGCAGAGCACAACACCUUUUAACCAGCAGCAAAUUCCAAUCAGACAGGCUGAAGUUACUGCUAACAACACCCAGAAGAUAAGGAAAGUAGGAGAAUGUUGGAGAUGUGGGGAUAAAUGGGUGCAUGGUCAUAAGUGUAAACUAGUACCAAUUAUACAUGCCAUGCAACAGGAAAUAGAGGAGCAAACUAGCUUUGAUGUGGAAGAACAACAAAGUGAAGAACAAUUAGAACCAGUUUCAGAAGGAGAUCAGGCCAUGUUCAUAUCUGCUUUUGCAAUGGGACAACAGCUAGCAGUUCCCACCCCAACAGUAAUAAUAUACAUCAAUGGAAAAAGGGCAGUGGCCUUACUGGAUUCUGGCAGUACUACUUCCUUCAUUAACCAGGAUUUUGCAGUAAAAGCUAAUUGCAACAUGCUCCCUGUAAAACCAAGAAGUAUAUCUGUGGCUGGAGGAGGAGUACUAGUAUCUGUUGCAGUGAUUCCCAAGUGUGAAUUUCAAAUUGCAAAACUGACUCUAUCCCACAACUUCAGAGUACUUGCUCUACCAAGUCAUGAUGUGAUCUUAGGAUAUGACUGGUUUUCUGCUGUUAGUCCUGUAUCAUUUGAUAUACCAGCACAGCAAUUUGGGUUUACUCAUGAAGGAAAGCAGACUGUAUCCACAACCAUGUUCUCAACUGCUGCUAGCUUGAAAGAAGUACCUCCAAAGAGAGUUGACAAACUUAUGGAAAAAGGGCCAGAAGUGUUCCUCUGCCAGGUCAACAACAUUCUCAUGGAUGCUCCUGAGGAUUUUAAAACCCCUCCACAAAUACAGAAAUUACUGUUGGAAUAUGCAGAUCUUUUUGAAGAACCCAAGACCCUACCUCCUUAGAGAGCUCUAGACCGCAAAAUCCCUUUGGUAGAAGGAGCCACACCACCUCAAAUCAGACCUUACAGAGUUCCUCAGCACCAAAAGAAAGAAAUGGAAGAGCAAAUAAAGAAAUUGUUGGCUGCACACUUGAUAAAGCACAACCAAAGUCCUUUUGCUGCACCAGUUUUAUUGGUCAAGAAAAAAGAUGGAUCCAUGAGGUUAUGUACUGACUACAGAAAAUUGAAUGCCCUCACAAUUAAGAAUAAAUUUCCUAUACCAGUUAUAGAAGAUUUAUUGGAUGAGCUCCAUGGUGCUAAAUAUUUCACCAAAUUGGAUUUGAGGUCUGGAUACCAUCAAAUCAGAAUGUGCCCUGAAGAUAUACCAAAGACUGCAUUCAGAACAUUCUUAGGACAUUUUGAAUAUCUAGUAAUGCCAUUUGGCCUCUCCAAUGCCCCUGGCACAUUCCAAGAGUUAAUGAACACAGUCUUUGCUCCUUACCUAAGGAGGUUUGUAUUGGUAUUUUUUGAUGAUAUACUAAUAUUCAGCAAAAGUCUCAAGGAGCACUUGGAACAUAUCAAGUUGGUAAUGGAGUUAUUAAGAGAACAUCAGCUCUAUGCAAAAAUGUCCAAAUGUGUCUUUGUAGUGCAGAAAGUAGAAUAUCUAGGUCAUGUCAUUUCUAAAAAAGGUGUUGCAACAGAUCCACAAAAAAUUGCAGCUAUUGCAGAGUGGCCAAUUCCUGAAAAUAUUACUAAACUCAGAAGUUUUCUGGGAUUGGCUGGAUAUUACAGGAGGUUUAUUAAGGGCUAUGGAGUAAUAUGCAGGCCUCUGCAUGACUUACUAAAAAAGGGAAAUUUCAAGUGGCAACCUGAACACAAUUCAACAUUCCAACACUUAAAACAAGCACUGACAUCAGCUCCUGUGUUGGCCUUGCCAGAUUUCACACAACCUUUUGUAUUAGAAACAGAUGCUUGUGGCAAAGGUAUUGGGGCAGUUCUCAUGCAGCAGGGGAGGCCAAUAUCUUACUACAGUUCUUCUCUCUGCCCUAAGAAUGCUACUCUGUCUACAUAUGAAAAAGAAGCUUUAGCUAUACUGGAAGCCCUUAAGAGAUGGAGGCACUAUCUACUGGGCAAGGAAGUGAUUAUCAGGAUUGAUCAACAAUCACUGAAGUUUAUCACUGACCAGAAAAUUACUGAAGGAGUUCAACAUAAACUCAUGAUGAAGUUGCUGGAGUUUAACUUCACAAUACAGUAUAAGAAGAGAAUUCAGAACAGAGUAGCAGAUGCCUUAUCCAGGUUACUUCCUCAGUGCAUGGCCAUAUCUUCUGUUACUCCUGUUUGGGCAGAGGACCUGAUCGACAGUUACAAAAAGGACCCUGUCAGUCUGCAAUUGCUAGAGAAGUUACUCCUUCAGAAAAACAAUACAGUGUCAGACUACUCUUUAACAGCUGGCAUCAUCAGGCACAAAGGGAAGAUCCUAGUGGGCAACAACCCUGACUUAAGGAUCAAGCUAAUCACAACUUUGCAUAGCUCACCAGUAGGGGGCCAAUCUGGCCAGAGAGCAACUUACCAGAGAAUAAAAAAUAUAUUCUACUGGCCUGGGUUGAAAGCUUCAGUGGAGAAUUUCAUUGCUGCAUGCCCCAUAUGUCAAAGAGCAAAGCAUGAAUCCUGUUUGCAACCUGGCCUCCUGGAACCUCUACCAGUAGUUGACAUGGCCUGGCAGCACAUUUCCAUGGACUUUAUUGAGGGGCUACCUAACUCUCAGGGCAAGGAUGUCAUUAUGGUCAUUGUGGACAGAUUCACCAAGUAUGCAUAUUUUAUUCCCUUAUCCCAUCCCUAUUCUGUGCUCAGUGUAGCUCAAGCAUUUGUGGGUAACAUUAUCAAGUUGCAUGGCCCUCCCAAGUUGAUCAUUUCUGACAGAGAUAGGAUAUUCACUAGUAAACUGUGGAAAGACAUUUUCUCUGCAUUAAAGGUGGAAUUAAGGUACAACACAGCCUACCACCCACAAACAGAUGGUCGGACUGGAAGAGUUAAUCAAUGCCUGGAAACUUACCUCAGAUGCAUGACUACCUCUGCACCUAAGAAAUGGCUGUCCUGGUUAUCUCUAGCUGAAUAUUGGUACAAUUCAACCUACCACACAUCAAUAAAAAUGUCCCCAUUUCAAGCCCUGUAUGGUUUCCCUCCUCCACUGAUAUCAGAACUGGCCAUUCCUGGCCCUGAUGAUUCUGAGGCCCAAGAUUUUCUAUCAGCAAAACAGCAAAUGUUGCAACAGUUGAAGGCAAACUUGGUACUAGCUCAAAACAGAAUGAAGAAAUAUGCAGACACAAAGAGGGUGGAAAGAACUUUCCAAGUGGGAGAACCAGUCUAUCUCAAAAUGGCCCCUUAUAGAUUGGCAGCAUUUGGAUUCAGAGGAGCACUGAAAUUGCAAAACAAGUUUUAUGGCCCAUUCCUGGUGAUUCAAAAGGUGGGAAAAUGUGCCUACAAACUGCAACUGCCAAGUUCAGUGCAAAUACAUCCAGUUUUCCAUGUCAGUCAGUUAAAAAAGCAUGUGGGGGACAAAUCAAUACCAGGACCUCAUCUACCAUUGGUGAAUGCGGACGGGACAGUUAAAACAGGGCCAACUGAAGUACUGCAGGUACGCCAAAUUCCCCGCAAUAAUGCACCAGUUGUCCAGUGGCUUAUCAGGUGGCUCAACCUGCCUACUGAAGAUGCAACGUGGGAAGAUGCUGAUUUCAUUAAGUAUACGUUCCCGGACUUCUUCAGCACCACCACACGUGCGUGGCGAAGCAAACAAGCAGCGCCGUGAGGACACGUCGGCUCUCAAGGGAGGAGUAAUGUCAGGACUGAACCGGUGUCGACGAGCUUCAGUUAGGUGUAGCAUUUCAGGUGAUAACGUUUCGGGCGAAAUGGACGGCUGAGAUGGCUCCUCACAGUUACUGUUCGUCGCUAGCCGUAGAUCAAGUCUUACCGUUAUUCGUUACUGUUCCGUUUCACCCCGUUGUCGGGAGCUAUCGCCUAUAUAACAGUCGGGCUGUGGCUGGUAAACGCAUCGAGAAUUCUGUGAUUUGCCUUGAUGGCCAAAUAAACCAAAUACAAAUAGAAAUAUCUGGAUCUGGGCGACGUUCUUCCCCAAUUCUCCUUCUCAAAUCCCUAGAUCGAUCCCUAGAUACAGGCUGGGUCUUGACACAUGCUCUUGUAUAUAUUCCAGGUUAUUCACUCUGUCAUACGCACCUACUUUGCAUAGUGUAAAGCAGCCAUAUGUUGCCAAAAAUUACAUAAACCUGGGAUUUUCUCAAACCUGGGAGAAGUUGAAGCAGGGCAUGAGCAAUUAGUGAUCCAGACUCAUAGCUUGAGGUUUUUCAUGUGUAUGGUACAGUCUGCAAUGCAUUAUUUCACCUAGGAAACAAUGUACACUAUAUUUGUUUAGGCCUCUUCUUAAGGAAAAACCUGUUUGAUUAAAAUUAUUAACAACCAUUUUUGAAAUUGGCUAGAGAUGACUGCCAUAUUGUGAAUGUGAACUCAGUGUCAAUGUAAAGAUAUAUCAUGGUUACAAGUUCUAAAAAUUGUGUCUUUUCAGAUCAAGGUACAGGCUGACUACUACUGCCAUGAGAACUCGGUGACAUCCAUCAUCGGCAGAUGGCGUAACGCAAUCCUAGCUUGGAAUCAAUUAUCACCCUUAAUUCAGCUCCGUUUGUUAUUACCUCUGUACUUCAAGUGUUGGUAGUGCAGAAUAUGUAAGCUGUCAAGUGUAAUAUUUGGGCUUCAGAAUCUGUGUUUUGUACUAGUACAUGUUAUGAAGCUGUCAAGUGUUCAUCAAUUUAAGUAUUGGUAGUGCAGAAUAUGUAAGCUGUCAAGUGCAAUGUCUGUACAUGUCAUUAAGCUGGUGCUAUGUUUUUAGCUAUCAAGUGCAGGAUCUACAUAUACUGAGCUGUACAUGUAUGUGUGGGGAACUGAUAUAGAACCAUAGGCUAAAACCAUAGUUCCUAGAAUGGGUUAGUUUGGUUUUGGGGAAUUUGUCAUGUAGUUUAGUUUGGGCUGGGUGUCAAUGCCAAUUACGUGGGGUUAGUUUGGUUCAGUUUUCAAAACGUCAUGACGUGGGUUGAGUUCAGGUUUGGUUUGGUUACCCAC
rnacentral:lncRNA from 1 species